rnacentral:rRNA from 1 species
CAGUCGCCGCGGUAAUACGUAGGUGGCAAGCGUUGUCCGGAAUUAUUGGGCGUAAAGCGCGCGCAGGUGGUUUAAUAAGUCUGAUGUGAAAGCCCACGGCUCAACCGUGGAGGGUCAUUGGAAACUGUUGAACUUGAGUGCAGGAGAGAAAAGUGGAAUUCCUAGUGUAGCGGUGAAAUGCGUAGAGAUUAGGAGGAACACCAGUGGCGAAGGCGGCUUUUUGGCCUGUAACUGACACUGAGGCGCGAAAGCGUGGGGAGCAAACAGGAUUAGAUACCCCGGUAGUCCCUGUCUCUUAUAC